UACGGAGGGUGCAAACGUUGCUCGGAAUUAUUGGGCGUAAAGCGCACGUAGGCGGUCCAGCAAGUCGGGUGUGAAAGCCCUCGGCUUAACCGAGGAAGUGCAUUCGAAACUACUGGACUUGAAUACUGGAGAGGAUCGCGGAAUUCCCGGUGUAGAGGUGAAAUUCGUAGAUAUCGGGAGGAACACCAGUGGCGAAGGCGGGUCUCUGGGCAACAACUGACGCUGAGGUGCGAAAAGCGUGGG
rnacentral:rRNA from 1 species